CCUGUGCUCCAACAGAAGAAUUAAAACCUCACAUAACUGUUGUCACAACCGGGACAUAUACAAUGGAUAUUGUGGCCCAGAAACAUUAUUAUACGAGUUACAGUGAAACACAGAAAAAAUACAUCUGGAAGAUUUCAGUCUGACAACACCUGCAAACAGAUUGUUUCUGAUGGAAA